ensembl:snRNA U6 U6 spliceosomal RNA
GUGCUCGCUUCGGCAGCACAUGUACUAAAAUUGGAACGAUACAGAGAAGAUUAGCGUGGCCCCCGCGCAAGGAUGACAUGCAAAUUCAUGAAGCAUUCCAUAUGUUU